rnacentral:rRNA from 1 species
AUGAACGCUGGCGGCAGGCCUAACACAUGCAAGUCGAGCGGAUGAUGGGAGCUUGCUCCCGGAUUCAGCGGCGGACGGGUGAGUAAUGCCUAGGAAUCUGCCUGGUAGUGGGGGACAACGUUUCGAAAGGAACGCUAAUACCGCAUACGUCCUACGGGAGAAAGCAGGGGACCUUCGGGCCUUGCGCUAUCAGAUGAGCCUAGGUCGGAUUAGCUAGUUGGUGGGGUAAAGGCCUACCAAGGCGACGAUCCGUAACUGGUCUGAGAGGAUGAUCAGUCACACUGGAACUGAGACACGGUCCAGACUCCUACGGGAGGCAGCAGUGGGGAAUAUUGGACAAUGGGCGAAAGCCUGAUCCAGCCAUGCCGCGUGUGUGAAGAAGGUCUUCGGAUUGUAAAGCACUUUAAGUUGGGAGGAAGGGCAGUAAGUUAAUACCUUGCUGUUUUGACGUUACCAACAGAAUAAGCACCGGCUAACUUCGUGCCAGCAGCCGCGGUAAU